rnacentral:rRNA from 1 species
AGAAUCCUACGGGGGGCAGCAGUGGGGAAUAUUGCACAAUGGGGGAAACCCUGAUGCAGCGACGCCGCGUGAGUGAAGAAGUAUCUCGGUACGUAAAGCUCUAUCAGCAGGGAAGAAAAAAAGUCUUUGGCUUUGGACGGUACCUGACUAAGAAGCCCCGGCUAACUACGUGCCAGCAGCCGCGGUAAUACGUAGGUGGCGAGCGUUAUCCGGAAUGAUUGGGCGUAAAGGGUGCGUAGGCGGCCUGCUAAGCCUGGAGUGAAAGGUACCGGGUCAAACGG